rnacentral:rRNA from 1 species
UGGGGAAUAUUGCACAAUGGGCGAAAGCCUGAUGCAGCAACGCCGCGUGAGGGACGACGGCCUUCGGGUUGUAAACCUCUUUAGCAAGGAAGAAGCGAAAGUGACGGUACUUGCAGAAAAAGCGCCGGCUAACUACGUGCCAGCAGCCGCGGUAAUACGUAGGGCGCAAGCGUUAUCCGGAAUUAUUAGGCGUAAAGAGCUCGUAGGCGGUUUGUCGCGUCUGCUGUGAAAACCCGAGGCUCAACCUCGGGCCUGCAGUGGGUACGGGCAGACUAGAGUGCGGUAGGGGAGAUUGGAACUCCUGGUGUAGCGGUGGAAUGCGCAGAUAUCAGGAAGAACACCGAUGGCGAAGGCAGAUCUCUGGGCCGUAACUGACGCUGAGGAGCGAAAAGGGUGGGGAGCAAAACAGGCUUAGAUACCCUGGUAGUCCACCCCGUAAACGUUGGGAACUAGUUGUGGGGUCCAUUCCACGGAUUCCGUGACGCAGCUAACGCAUUAAGUU